GAUGAACGCUGGCGGCGUGCCUAAUACAUGCAAGUCGAGCGAACAGAUGAGGAGCUUGCUCCUCUGACGUUAGCGGCGGACGGGUGAGUAACACGUGGAUAACCUACCUAUAGACUGGGAUAACUUCGGGAAACCGGAGCUAAUACCGGAUAAUAUAUUGAACCGCAUGGUUCAAUAGUGAAAGACGGUUUUGCUGUCACUUAUAGAUGGAUCCGCGCCGCAUUAGCUAGUUGGUAAGGUAACGGCUUACCAAGGCAACGAUGCGUAGCCGACCUGAGAGGGUGAUCGGCCACACUGGAACUGAGACACGGUCCAGACUCCUACGGGAGGCAGCAGUAGGGAAUCUUCCGCAAUGGGCGAAAGCUUGACGGAGCAACGCCGCGUGAGUGAUGAAGGUCUUCGGAUCGUAAAACUCUGUUAUUAGGGAAGAACAAAUGUGUAAGUAACUAUGCACGUCUUGACGGUACCUAAUCAGAAAGCCACGGCUAACUACGUG
rnacentral:rRNA from 1 species